UUCAUGAGCUCUAGUCUCUCAUCUUCAUCUUCAACCCCAAUUUUCAGUUUUUGUUCUUCCAUUUCUUGUUUUGAAAUAAACUUUCUCUUUGGACUUUUUGGAUUGUGCGGAUGUCUAUGUCUCCUCUCUAUUGCUGGCUCUGACACUUUUUCAAGGGACCAAGCCUCAGCUCGCCAAAUCGGAUCAUCUCGAUCUCUCCAAUGAUAUCAAAGGAACCUCAAUCUCGACAAGUCGUCAUCUCAGUGAAAACGACAACUGAGGACCUCAUAGGUUGUUCCAAAGUACUGCACAACGCCAGCGACUCGUCAUCUUCAGUUGUGGAGGAAGACAGGGAUUUCGUCGCGUCGUCAUCGUCGUCGUUUGGUUUGGACUUGAGAUUUUUUAUCUUUUGCUUCAAUUAUGUGUUUCUCUUCGAAUUUUAGUUAAUUUGAGGAAUAUAUUUUAAGCUUUGAUGAUCAA